AGAGUUUGAUCCUGGCUCAGGGCGUGGGGCAGCUAUACAUGCAGUCGAACGAACUCUGGUAUUGAUUGGUGCUUGCAUCAUGAUUUACAUUUGAGUGAGUGGCGAACUGGUGAGUAACACGUGGGAAACCUGCCCAGAAGCGGGGGAUAACACCUGGAAACAGAUGCUAAUACCGCAUAACAACUUGGACCGCAUGGUCCGAGUUUGAAAGAUGGCUUCGGCUAUCACUUUUGGAUGGUCCCGCGGCGUAUUAGCUAGAUGGUGGGGUAACGGCUCACCAUGGCAAUGAUACGUAGCCGACCUGAGAGGGUAAUCGGCCACAUUGGGACUGAGACACGGCCCAAACUCCUACGGGAGGCAGCAGUAGGGAAUCUUCCACAAUGGACGAAAGUCUGAUGGAGCAACGCCGCGUGAGUGAAGAAGGGUUUCGGCUCGUAAAACUCUGUUGUUAAAGAAGAACAUAUCUGAGAGUAACUGUUCAGGUAUUGACGGUAUUUAACCAGAAAGCCACGGCUAACUACGUGCCAGCAGCCGCGGUAAUACGUAGGUGGCAAGCGUUGUCCGGAUUUAUUGGGCGUAAAGCGAGCGCAGGCGGUUUUUUAAGUCUGAUGUGAAAGCCUUCGGCUCAACCGAAGAAGUGCAUCGGAAACUGGGAAACUUGAGUGCAGAAGAGGACAGUGGAACUCCAUGUGUAGCGGUGAAAUGCGUAUAUAUAUGGAAGAACACCAGUGGCGAAGGCGGCUGUCUGGUCUGUAACUGACGCUGAGGCUCGAAAGUAUGGGUAGCAAACAGGAUUAGAUACCCUGGUAGUCCAUACCGUAAACGAUGAAUGCUAAGUGUUGGAGGGUUUCCGCCCUUCACUGCUGCAGCUAACGCAUUAAGCAUUCCGCCUGGGGAGUACGGCCGCAAGGCUGAAACUCAAGGAAUUGACGGGGCCGCACAGCGGUGGAGCAUGUGGUUUAAUUCGAAGCUACCGAGAACCUUACCAGGUCUUGACAUACUAUGCAAUCUAAAAUAU
rnacentral:rRNA from 2 species